GGUGUGAAAGCGUCUGUACCAUUGGAGACUUUGUUUUAGAAGGCUCGUUUUGGUUUUUAGCAUCAACUGAAAACCAUAGAUCAUAUCACAAGAUCGAUGAAGUUAAUCACAACAAAGAACAACAGAGACACAAGAACUUGACAAAUUCAUAAAUCUGUUCAGCAUUGAGUAUGAGCUUCCUAAGUUAAUUGAAAAGUAUUUUUACAUUUGCAUCUCCAAGCAAGUAGGUCAUACAAAGAACAUAUACUUCUCAGUCCAGUCUUUU
rnacentral:lncRNA from 1 species